rnacentral:rRNA from 1 species
GAGUGAGCGGCAAAAGCUCAAAUUUGAAAUCUAGCACUUUCAGUGUUCGAGUUGUAAUUUGAAGAAGGUAACUUUGGUUUUGGCUCUUGUCUAUGUUCCUUGGAACAGGACGUCACAGAGGGUGAGAAUCCCGUGCGAUGAGAUGCCCAAUUCCAUGUAAAGUGCUUUCGAAGAGUCGAGUUGUUUGGGAAUGCAGCUCUAAGUGGGUGGUAAAUUCCAUCUAAAGCUAAAUAUUGGCGAGAGACCGAUAGCGAACAAGUACAGUGAUGGAAAGAUGAAAAGAACUUUGAAAAGAGAGUGAAAAAGUACGUGAAAUUGUUGAAAGGGAAGGGCUUGAGAUCAGACUUGGUAUUUUGCGUUCCCUUCCUUUUUGGUUGGGUUCCUCGCAGUUUACUGGGCCAGCAUCGGUUUGGAUGGUAGGAUAAUGACAUUGGAAUGUAGCUUUACUUCGGUGAAGUGUUAUAGACUUUGUUGAUACUGCCUAUCUAGACCGAGGACUGCGUCUUUGACUAGGAUGCUGGCGUAAUGAUCUUAAGCCGCCCGUCUUG